CCGGCAGGCACACCCCCACCGCGGCGGCCGGCAAGUUUGUGGGGCCGUCCGGGCCGGCUGAGCAGGACUCACCGCGGAGCCCCUCCAGCCGGGCUGGCGACAGCGGCAGCGGGCGCAGGGUCGCGGCUCCCGGUAUUCCGGAAGCUUCUGUGUGGAUUACGUGUGGAUCUUCAAAGCAUCACUAAGAGGCGGGCCUCCUGUCAUCCCCACUUGGCGAGAAGACCGCGGCCAACACGCCCUGCCACGGCCUCUGUCAAGGUAAGCGGAGCUCCCCCAACAAAAGCGACGGGCGGAGGACUGGACGUGCGGAUGGCCAGCAAGCCCACGAAGAGAUGCUCGGUGUCAUCGGCGAAAAGCAAGUCAAAGCCACGGCGAGACACCGUCUCUCACCCACCGGGACGGCUGCAAGACCCUCAAAAGCCGAAACCCAGAAAAUAACAACAGUCGGCGAAGACGAGGCGAAACUGGACGUGGAGACGUUGCAGGUGAGAAUGUAGGACAGUAACAGCGGCCACCGCGGAGCGAGGUCUGUGGCUCCUGCAACCUGCGACCCCCCCGCCCCCCAACCCCGGGCUCGGCCGGAAGAAAGAAGGCAGGGACUGAGAUGCACCCCACCCCCACCGCGUCCCGAGCGCAGGAGCCCAAACCACCCGACUGCCGUCUGUCUGUCCGUCUGUCGUGUGCUGGUUGGUAAAUCCGACCUCAGAAAGGACUGCGACGGUGGGGGGGGGAGAAAACAAGACGCCUCGGCGGCGAAGUGUCCAGAACAGGCAGCACAGGGAGGGCUGGGGGCGGGGAUGCCCCGCAGACCGGCCGCUUAAUGGAUGCCGGCCUCCUCUAGAGGGUGAGAACGUUCUGGAACGAGGAGGGGAGGCUGCCCAGCACUGUGAGUGUGCUAACUGCCGCUUGGCUAUUCACCCUAAAGCGUCUGGGGUUUUGUCUCGUGAUUUUCGCCUCAAUAAAAAAACAACAAAGGUAAGUGGAGGCCAGGGUCAGCCGCACCCUGUGUCCCCACGGUCCCCCAGCACCUGGAGUCGGGGCUGCCCCACGCUGGGCACUUCGGCUCU